CCCGAGUAGCAGCGGGCCCGUGAAAUCUGCUGUGAAUCUGUCGGGACCACCCGAUAAGCCUGAAUACUACCUGGUGACCGAUAGCGGACUAGUACCGUGAGGGAAAGGUGAAAAGUACCCCGGGAGGGGAGUGAAAUAGUACCUGAAACCGUGCGCUUACAAUCCGUCAGAGCUGUAAUAGGUGAUGGCGUGCCUUUUGAAGAAUGAGCCUGCGAGUCAUCGGUGUGUGGCGAGGUUAACCCGUGUGGGGGAGCCGUAGCGAAAGCGAGUCCGAAUAGGGCGCCGCAGUCGCACACUAUGGACCCGAAGCGGAGUGAUCUACCCAUGGCCAGGGUGAAGCGACGGUAAGACGUCGUGGAGGCCCGAACCCACUUAGGUUGAAAACUGAGGGGAUGAGCUGUGGGUAGGGGUGAAAGGCCAAUCAAACUCCGUGAUAGCUGGUUCUCCCCGAAAUGCAUUUAGGUGCAGCGUCGCGUGUUUCUCACCGGAGGUAGAGCUACUGGAUGGCCUAGGGGGCCCACAAGCUUACCGAAGUCAGCCAAACUCCGAAUGCCGGUGAGUGAGAGCGCGGCAGUGAGACUGUGGGGGAUAAGCUUCAUAGUCGAGAGGGAAACAGCCCAGAUCGCCGGCUAAGGCCCCUAAGCGUGUACUAAGUGGAAAAGGAUGUGGAGUCGCGAAGACAACCAGGAGGUUGGCUUAGAAGCAGCCACCCUUGAAAGAGUGCGUAAUAGCUCACUGGUCAAGUGAUUCUGCGCCGACAAUGUAGCGGGGCUCAAGUACACCGCCGAAGCCGCGGCAUUCGCACAUUAUCCCGCCUUCGGGCCAGGAGUGCGGAUGGGUAGGGGAGCGUCGUAUGGCCAGGGAAGCGGCGGAGUGAUCCAGCCGUGGAGGCCAUGCGAGUGAGAAUGCAGGCAUGAGUAGCGAAAGACGAGUGAGAAACUCGUCCGCCGAAUGACCAAGGGUUCCUGGGCCAGGUUAAUCCGCCCAGGGUGAGUCGGGACCUAAGGCGAGGCCGACAGGCGUAGUCGAUGGACAACGGGUUGAUAUUCCCGUACCCGUGUAUCCGCGCCAAAUAUCGAAUCAGUUGUGCUAAGUGCCCAAAAGCGGAUGGACCUCCUUCGGGAGGACGGAAGUGGCUGCGCACGACCCUGGCUGUAGUAGGUAAGCGAUGGGGUGACGUAGGAAGGUAGCUGGGCCAGGUGAUGGAAUACCUGGUGUAAGCCUGUAGGGUGUUGUGUAGGCAAAUCCGCACAGCAUAUGGCCUGAGAGGUGAUGCGUAGCCGAUUGAGGCGAAUUCAGUGAUCCUAUGCUGCCGAGAAAAGCCUCUAGUGAGUUGGUACACGGCCCGUACCCCAAACCGACACAGGUGGUCAGGUAGAGAAUACUAAGGCGAUCGAGAUAACUGUGGUUAAGGAACUCGGCAAAAUACCUCCGUAACUUCGGGAGAAGGAGGGCCCGGUCUGGUGAACGCCCUUGCGGUGGGAGCUGGGUUGGGUCGCAGAGACCAGUGAGAAGCGACUGUUUACUAAAAACACAGGUCCGUGCGAAGUCGUAAGACGAUGUAUACGGACUGACGCCUGCCCGGUGCCGGAAGGUUAAGAGGACCGGUUAGCGCCCUUGGGUGCGAAGCUGAGAAUUUAAGCCCCGGUAAACGGCGGUGGUAACUAUAACCAUCCUAAGGUAGCGAAAUUCCUUGUCGGGUAAGUUCCGACCUGCACGAAUGGCGUAACGACUUCUCAGCUGUCUCAACCACAGACUCGGCGAAAUUGCAGUACGAGUAAAGAUGCUCGUUACGCGCGGCAGGACGAAAAGACCCCGGGACCUUCACUAUAGCUUGGUAUUGGUGUUCGGUACGGUUUGUGUAGG
rnacentral:rRNA from 1 species